GAUGAACGCUGGCGGCGUGCCUAACACAUGCAAGUCGAGCGAUUUACUUCGGUAAAGAGCGGCGGACGGGUGAGUAACGCGUGGGUAACCUGCCCUGUACACACGGAUAACAUACCGAAAGGUAUGCUAAUACGAGAUAAUAUACUUUUAUCGCAUGGUAGAAGUAUCAAAGCUUUUGCGGUACAGGAUGGACCCGCGUCUGAUUAGCUAGUUGGUAAGGUAACGGCUUACCAAGGCGACGAUCAGUAGCCGACCUGAGAGGGUGAUCGGCCACAUUGGAACUGAGACACGGUCCAAACUCCUACGGGAGGCAGCAGUGGGGAAUAUUGCACAAUGGGCGAAAGCCUGAUGCAGCAACGCCGCGUGAGCGAUGAAGGCCUUCGGGUCGUAAAGCUCUGUCCUCAAGGAAGAUAAUGACGGUACUUGAGGAGGAAGCCCCGGCUAACUACGUGCCAGCAGCCGCCGUAA
rnacentral:rRNA from 1 species